rnacentral:rRNA from 1 species
GCCAGACUCCUACGGGAGGCAGCAGUGGGGGAUAUUGGACAAUGGGGGGAACCCUGAUCCAGCGACGCCGCGUGAGUGAAGAAGUAUUUCGGUAUGUAAAGCUCUGUCAGCAGGGAAGAAAGAAAUGACGGUACCUGACCAAGAAGCCCCGGCUAACUACGUGCCAGCAGCCGCGGUAAUACGUAGGGGGCAAGCGUUAUCCGGAUUUACUGGGUGUAAAGGGAGCGUAGACGGCAGCGCAAGUCUGAAGUGAAAUGCCGGGGCUUAACCCCGGAACUGCUUUGGAAACUGUGCAGCUAGAGUGCAGGAGAGGUAAGUGGAAUUCCUAGUGUAGCGGUGAAAUGCGUAGAUAUUAGGAGGAACACCAGUGGCGAAGGCGGCUUACUGGACUGUAACUGACGUUGAGGCUCGAAAGCGCGGGUAUCGAACAGGAUUAGAUACCCGGGUA